GUUAAAAAGCUCGUAGUUGGAUUUCUGGCUGGGCGCCGAUGUGGCACAAAGUGCUCACAAGGCACCGGCCAUCCUUCUGUAAACUAGGUUAGUCUUUGAUUAGACUGCUUAGGGAUCAGAUAAUUUACCUUGAGAAAAUAGAGUGUUUCAGGCAGGCUUAGCCGGAAUACAUUAGCAUGGAAUAAUGGAAUAGGACUAUGGUCUCGUUGUUGGUUUGAGGGAUCGCAGUAAUGAUUAAUAGGGAUAGUUGGGGGCAUUAGUAUUUAUUAGCUAGAGGUGGAAUUCUCUAAUUUAAUAAAGACUAACUUAUGCGAAAGCAUUUGCCAAGGAUGUUUUCAUU
rnacentral:rRNA from 1 species